rnacentral:sRNA from 1 species
ACUCAACAGAAAACAAUUCAAAAAGGUGAGUCAAAACUGUAAAAGCGCGCCGAUGGCCUCACCGCCUUAUCGGAUACUUGAUCAGUUUGUUAGCCUUAAACCUGUCAUUAUGGAGUUU